GACUCCCACAGGAGUCGGGCUCUGCCACCAAAUUCGACUGCUGGCAAGCUCCGUCCGGACUCCUACGGGAGCCGGACUUCGCACUUGACUUUGAUUGCAGGAAGACUCCGCCCGGACACCCACGGGAGCCGAACAACGUCCCGACUCCACCUACGAGAGCUGAACUCCCGUAACCCCCCCAAGAGCGAGGAAAAAUUCGAAGCAAA
rnacentral:lncRNA from 1 species